rnacentral:rRNA from 1 species
UACCGCUGCCUUGCAGUUGUUGGAGAGCGCAGUCCGCUGCGUUCUUUUGCACCGCAGGCGGUGUUUAUAGAUCGUGUGGGGGGAGGUUUGGUUAGAGCGGGGUUGUUGUGGUGGCUUCGGGAGGGGCUUGCGGCCUAUCAGUUAGUUGGAGGGGUAACGGCCCACCAAGACGACGACGGGUAGCUGGUCUGAGAGGAUGGUCAGCCGGACUGGGACUGAGAUACGGCCCAG